rnacentral:misc_RNA from 1 species
UUUCCGUAGGUGAACCUGCGGAAGGAUCAUUAACGAUUUCGUAGCUGGGCUUCGGCCCUGUCUGCACCCUUGUCUUUUGCGUACCAAUUGUUUCCUCGGCGGGCUUGCCUGCCGGUUGGACAUUAUCAAACCUUUUUGUAGUUGCAAUCAGCGUCAGAAACAAAACAAUAAUUACAACUUUCAACAACGGAUCUCUUGGUUCUGGCAUCGAUGAAGAACGCAGC